AUUGAACGCUGGCGGCAGGCUUAACACAUGCAAGUCGAGCGGGGUGAUGGUGCUUGCACUAUCACUUAGCGGCGGACGGGUGAGUAAUGCGUAGGAAGCUGCCCGAUAGAGGGGGAUACCAGUUGGAAACGACUGUUAAUACCGCAUAAUGUCUACGGACCAAAGUGUGGGACCUUCGGGCCACAUGCUAUCGGAUGCGCCUACGUGGGAUUAGCUAGUUGGUGAGGUAAUAGCUCACCAAGGCGACGAUCUCUAGCUGGUUUGAGAGGAUGAUCAGCCACACUGGAACUGAGACACGGUCCAGACUCCUACGGGAGGCAGCAGUGGGGAAUAUUGGACAAUGGGCGCAAGCCUGAUCCAGCCAUGCCGCGUGUGUGAAGAAGGCCUUCGGGUUGUAAAGCACUUUCAGCGAGGAGGAAGGGUGGUGUGUUAAUAGCACAUCAUUUUGACGUUACUCGCAGAAGAAGCACCGGCUAACUCUGUGCCAGCCGCCGCAGUAA
rnacentral:rRNA from 1 species